rnacentral:rRNA from 1 species
UACGUAGGGUGCGAGCGUUAAUCGGAAUUACUGGGCGUAAAGUGUGCGCAGGCGGCCGAGCAAGUCGAGUGUGAAAGCCCCGAGCUUAACUUGGGAACUGCGCUCGAAACUACUUGGCUAGAGUGUGGCAGAGGGAGGUGGAAUUCCACGUGUAGCGGUGAAAUGCGCAGAUAUCGGGAGGAACACCUAUGGCGAAGGCAGCUCGCUGGGACGUUACUGACGCUGAGACGCGAAAGCGUGGGGAGCAAACAGG